rnacentral:rRNA from 1 species
AUUGAACGCUGGCGGCAUGCCUUACACAUGCAAGUCGAACGCGAAAGCGGGGGCAACCCGCAAGUAGAGUGGCGAACGGGUGAGUAAUACAUCGGAACGUGUCCAGUAGCGGGGGGAUAACCUCUCGAAAGAGAGGCUAAUACCGCAUACGACCUACGGGUGAAAGAGGGGGAUCGCAAGACCUCUCACUAUUGGAGCGGCCGAUGUCGGAUUAGCUAGUUGGCGGGGUAAAAGCCCACCAAGGCGACGAUCCGUAGCUGGUCUGAGAGGACGACCAGCCACACUGGAACUGAGACACGGUCCAGACUCCUACGGGAGGCAGGCAGUGGGGAAUUUUGGACAAAUGGGCGCAA